rnacentral:rRNA from 1 species
UGGGGAAUUUUGCACAAUGGGGGAAACCCUGAUGCAGCGACGCCGCGUGAUUUAGAAGGCCUUCGGGUUGUAAAAAUCUUUUCUAUGGGAAGAAAAUGACAGUACCAUAGGAAUAAGGACCGGCUAAUUACGUGCCAUCAGCCGCGGUAAUACGUAAGGUCCGAGCGUUGUCCGUAAUCAUUGGGCGUAAAGGGUACGUAGGCGGGUAAGCAAGUUAGAAGUGAAAUCCUGUAGCUCAACUACAGUAAGCUUUUAAAACUGCUCAUCUUGAGAUAUGGAAGGGAAAGUGGAAUUCCUAGUGUAGCGGUGAAAUGCGCAGAUAUUAGGAGGAAUACCGGUGGCGAAGGCGACUUUCUGGCCAUAAUCUGACGCUGAGGUACGAAAGCGUGGGUAGCAAACAGG